rnacentral:rRNA from 1 species
GAUGAACGCUGGCGGCGUGCCUAAUACAUGCAAGUCGAGCGAACGGACGAGAAGCUUGCUUCUCUGAUGUUAGCGGCGGACGGGUGAGUAACACGUGGAUAACCUACCUAUAAGACUGGGAUAACUUCGGGAAACCGGAGCUAAUACCGGAUAAUAUUUUGAACCGCAUGGUUCAAAAGUGAAAGACGGUCUUGCUGUCACUUAUAGAUGGAUCCGCGCUGCAUUAGCUAGUUGGUAAGGUAACGGCUUACCAAGGCAACGAUGCAUAGACGACCUGAGAGGGGGAUAGGCGACCCUGGAACGUGGACAGGGUCAAGACUCCUACGGGAGGCAGCAGUAGGGUAUCUUCCGCAGUGGGCGAGAGCCUGACGGAGCAACGCGGAGUGAGAGAUGAAGGUCUUCGGAUCGUAAAACUCUGUUAUUAGGGAAGAACAUAUGUGUAAGUAACUGUGCACAUCUUGACGGUACCUAAUCAGAAAGCCACGGCUAACUACGUG